rnacentral:rRNA from 1 species
UUCUUAUGAAAUAGGAGUGCCUUCGGAGCGCGAGACAGUGGUGCAUGGUUGUUCGUCAGCUCGUGUCGUGAGAUGUUGGGUUAAGUCCCGCAACGAGCGCAACCCCUAUUGUUAGUUGCCAUCAUUCAGUUGGGCACUCUAAAGAGACUGCCGGUGUCAAACCGGAGGAAGGUGGGGAUGACGUCAAGUCCUCAUGGCCUUUAUGACCAGGGCUACACACGUACUACAAUGGCCGGUACAAAGGGCAGCGACACAGCGAUGUGAAGCCAAUCCCGAAAAGCCGGUCUCAGUCCGGAUUGGAGUCUGCAACUCGACUCCAUGAAGUUGGAAUCGCUAGUAAUCGCGGAUCAGCACGCCGCGGUGAAUACGUUCCCGGGCCUU